GGGAUCGGGCGGAGUGGCACCGCACCCGGGGGUCCCACCACGCCUACCCGGCGGCGCCGGCGCCAGCCAUCCCCGCACCCCGUCGGGCUGAGGUCCAGCGAGGCCCGGCCCAGCGCCUGGGGUCCUUGGCCACCCCCCGCCCCGGUGUCCUGUCCGGUCCCAUCCCCUUCCCCCCCUCCGGUGCAGCCCCCGACCGAGGUCAGCCCGUACCGGCUCUCCGCCGACGGUGCCGCUGCUGCCCCCUGCCGAGCGUGGGGCCGCCGUGCCGGAGCCGCCCUGGGGCACGGCCGGGCUGGGGGCCUACCAGCGGGAGCGGACUCAGCUACCCAAAAAGGGGGACGAGACCCGAAACACCCCAUCACGAGGCGCCUGGAAACAGGCGUCCGCAGCGGCGCGGACAGGGCCGGAGCCGGUCGGCGGUGGGGCCGGCGGGAGGGAGGGGGGGACGUGGCUCCGCUGCCCGCGCCGGGGAUGCGGUUAAAUCCAGGGGUGCCCAGCGCGCCCCGCCGCCGGCUCCGGCCCGGUGCGAGGCGGGCGGCGCCGCUCGGGAGCAGGCCCUGCGUGCUGCCCAGGUGCGUUCUCGGGGCUGGAGGACACCGAAAAAGUGCUGAAGGAAUGAGUAGUCUGUAGGGAGCUGCCUGAGCACCCAGCCGUCCUUGCAGCUACAUGCUUGUCCUUAAUCUCAUCCGUUCCUUGGUGUUCAAGUCCAUCACCCCAGCCUGGGCUCCUGGGGAGAGCCCCCAUCUCCCUCACAGGCUGGCCUAUGUGGCAAACCCGGGGCAGGGCUUGGCUGGAGAGGGUGGUGGGGGUGCAGCGGGGAGCCCUGGCUUGCUCUGGCACAUGUGGUGCUGGACAGGGUGAUUGCGCUGUGCAUGGGUGUAUGUAAUCCAGUUCUGCUAGCUCAGCAAAUAAUAGCAGGGAAAUUGAUGGGACAGGCUUCAAGCUGGUUGCACAAGACCCUAGAUGUCAAGAAACUGUCCUGUGUUAAAGCCUGGGCCAGCAUGCUUUCCCUGAUGCUGGUAUCCAGCAUUAAAGCUGUAACGGAUUCACAUUCCCCAGGCUGCAACCCCACCUCCCACCCUCCUGCUGCCAGGUCCAGUGGUGUCUCACACCAGCUGAAGGACAGAAACCCCGUCUUGUCCAAGGGCUUCCCCACCCCUGUAGUCUUCCAUGCCUGUCCCACAAGUAAGCUGCAGCUCCCAUCAUGUCCUGUCAUCUUCUCCCUCCACUUCUGCAGAGCUGUGAAGGAGAAACGUAAGGAUAACACAGGUGAAGAAGCGUGCCUCCUGAAUGAAACAGUAACUCUGUGCUUAAAGUGUUUGCCCAAGUAGAAGACCUAGAUUCACCCUCGUGCCUUCCAGGAGAGCAUCCUCCCAGGCUGGGUGGAGUGGGACUCCCCUCCUGAGACUGGCUUGUUACAGAUGUGCUCCAGAGAAACAAAAAUAUAUGGUGUGGUCCUCCUGUUUGGUGCAUCUUUAGAAGAGAGAGACAUGGGACAGGAGCUGCCUUUGCAGGAUGUUUUGGGAUGGGGCUCUUCUUCCCUCUGUGCAAACCCUUGACAUUUCUUGAAAUGUUAAAGAAACAUCAAGAAAUGUGCUUACUACAUCUGCAGACUAAACUACGUGUGCCCUCCCAGCAAGCCAUGGCAAAAGCUCAUGGUGAAUCUCAAGUGGAGGAUGGGGCUGAGUCAUGCCCACAGUGUACCUUACACAGUAGCGGGUUCCUGUGAAAUGGGUACCAGAAAGACCUCACAUUAAAAAACAGCCAUGUCUUUUUGGCUGUCCAGCUCAGAUUCUACAACAUGACUUUUAAACGUGUUUGUGAAGAGGUAUUUGCAGCUUUCAUCUUCACAGGUAGCACCACAGGAGCUCAGCAUACUGCAAAGAAGGGCUCGUGCCUCAGGCUAGGUAUCUUACCUGAAAUUCUCAAAAUUAUUAAGGACUUUAUGAAUUUGGCUUCAAGGAGUAUUAGCAAGUAGGGUUCAUCUCACCUAACUUUAGUAAACCACAGUCUUUAUCUGAGCUUACUCUGAUGGUCAAACAGAGGGAAACAGCCGCUUUUAGGAUGCACUUUGUCAUUGUAGCUGCUGACUGGGAUGCAGAAUCCCCAAGUAGAUCCCAUAAACACACAUUGCAGAUGUUCGCUGCUGGGCAGGUGGAUCCCACUAAAGCAAUGAGGCAGAACCUGUCCUUAGACUGCAAUUUCUUGUUCUGAAAGCUGUGUCACUUCUCUAUCCGUGCAAACUUUACUUUAGCUAUUUUUUCUGUUUGCGAUGGUUAUAAAUUGAAUUUACGUGUAAUAAAAGAUGCUGUCCACAAGCAUAAAGGAACAACUGAUGAUUCAUGACUUUUAUUUCUGUAACUUCUCACUUCCAGAAUAUCUAUCUGACGAACUGUGAAUCAUAUACUUUGGCUUGGAUGGAUAUACUUAGCUCUGAUUUGUACCGUCAGAUGUAAAUAAUCAGUUAAUUAAAUGAAAUUUUUCUCUGUGAAUUACUGCCUCCCCUCUCUCCCCUCUCCCCUCCCUUCCUUCUGCUUUAACUCACCACUGUUCAAAGGUAUGAUCCUGUCGCCUGACAACCUGAAA